AUACGUAGGGGGCGAGCGUUGUCCGGAAUGAUUGGGCGUAAAGGGCGCGUAGGCGGCCCGGUAAGUCUGGAGUGAAAGUCCUGUUUUUAAGAUGGGAAUUGCUUUGGAUACUGUCGGGCUUGAGUGCAGGAGAGGUAAGUGGAAUUCCCAGUGUAGCGGUGAAAUGCGUAGAGAUUGGGAGGAACACCAGUGGCGAAGGCGACUUACUGGACUGUAACUGACGCUGAGGCGCGAAAGUGUGGGGAGCAAACAGGAUUAGAUACCCUGGUGGUCCACACUGUAAACGAUGAAUGCUAGGUGUAGGGGGUAUCGACCCCUUCUGUGCCGCAGUCAACACAAUAAGCAUUCCGCCUGGGGAGUACGGCCGCAAGGCUUAAACUCAAAGGAAUUGACGGGG
rnacentral:rRNA from 1 species